GACGGCCCCAGUCCUUUGACGCCAUUUGAAACAUCGCAGGACUGUUUUUCUUCAGACAAAUGGAUGGCGAAGAGGACGAAUUCUUCUCCGGGAACCACUCUGAUGGUGGUGGCACCCCUGUACAGGACGAAAAUGCUCCCGGUUCAGAUGCGGAAGAGGAGACGAGGAAUGAGUCGUGCUACUCAGAGGAUGAGAAUAGUCAUGGUGAGGGAGCAGCUCAGGCCAUGGAGACAAAUGGUUUGGCCAGUGGGUCAGACAACGAGGGCCACAAAAGGGAGGACAGUGACUCUGAGGAGGAGGCACCAGUCAAACGCAGCACCUCAGACAUAGAGUGCACCCCCCCAACCAAACGCAGAGGC
ensembl:lncRNA